rnacentral:rRNA from 1 species
GAUGAACGCUGGCGGCGUGCUUAACACAUGCAAGUCGAACGGAAAGGCCCAAGCUUGCUUGGGUACUCGAGUGGCGAACGGGUGAGUAACACGUGGGUGAUCUGCCCUGCACUUCGGGAUAAGCCUGGGAAACUGGGUCUAAUACCGGAUAGGACCACAUUUUGGAUGGUGUGGUGGAAAGUUUUUCGGUGUGGGAUGAGCUCGCGGCCUAUCAGCUUGGUGGGGGGGUAAUUGCCUACCAAGGCGUCGACGGGGAGCCGGCCUGAGAGGGUGUACGGCCAGAUUGGGAAUGAGAUCCGGCCCAGACUCCUUCGGGAGGAAGCAGGGGGGAAUAUUGCAAAAUGGGCGCAAGCCUGAUGCCGCGACGCCGGGUGGGGGAUGACGGCCUUCUGGUUGUAAACUCCUUUCGCUAGGGACGAAGCGCAAGUGACGGUACCUGGAGAAGAAGCACCGGCUAACUACGUG